GCCGAAGUGGUGAAAUUGGUAUACACGCUACCUUGAGGUGGUAGUGGGCGAAAGCCUGUGUCGGUUCGAGUCCGUCCUUCGGCACCA
rnacentral:tRNA from 1 species